UGCGGUCAUUUCUGAAUUUAAAACUUCAUUUACACCUUGAAUGUCAUUCGGCUCAUUUGUGAUGUCAUUUGUAUUAUCGGCGUUAUUUAAAUUUUUGAAAAAAUCAAACAGUACAUCUAAUGCUAUGUUAGGUUUAAUUCUUUUCCCUCCCCUAUUUAAAAUUUUCCAAUAUUCCUUCGGAUUUUUUGUCCUCAGGUUUUUCAUAUGUUUUUGAAAUUUUUUUCUAUAUUCCCUCAUCGAUUUAUCCAUCUGGCGUUUAUAUUCCCGUUCUUUCUUUUUCAUUUCUUCCCUUUUAGCUUCUGAUCUAUUACUGUUAUAAUUUUUCUUUGCUCCCCUGUAAAUCUUUCUCUUAUUCCAACAUUGCUUAUUAAACCAUGGUUUGUUCCCCUUUUUGCCCAUUUUUUGUCCUGUACGACUCCCUUGGCUAGCAUUAUAUGUACCUAGAACAUUUUCUGCAGCAUCCAAAAAUAUGCUGUUAAUGUUUUCAAGUACUUCGUUAAUUUUGCCUUGAGAUAAAAGGUUACUGUCAACUGAUUCUAAUUCGGCAACCAAAUCUGAAAUUUUGUCCUUAUCAAUAAAUUCUACGAAUUCAUUCUUUUUCUC
rnacentral:lncRNA from 1 species